GACGAACGCUGGCGGCGUGCCUAAUACAUGCAAGUCGAACGAACCGCGACUAGGUGCUUGCACUUGGUCAAGGUGAGUGGCGAACGGGUGAGUAACACGUGGGUAACCUACCUCAUAGUGGGGGAUAACAGUCGGAAACGACUGCUAAUACCGCAUAGGACAUAGGAUCACAUGAUUCUGUGAGGAAAGGUGGCGCAAGCUAUCGCUAAGAGAUGGACCCACGGUGCAUUAGCUAGUUGGUAGGGUAAAGGCCUACCAAGGCGAUGAUGCAUAGCCGACCUGAGAGGGUGAUCGGCCACAUUGGGACUGAGACACGGCCCAAACUCCUACGGGAGGCAGCAGUAGGGAAUCUUCCGCAAUGGACGCAAGUCUGACGGAGCAACGCCGCGUGAGUGAAGAAGGUCUUCGGAUCGUAAAGCUCUGUUGUUAGGGAAGAACAGCGCAUAGAGUAACUGUUAUGCGUGUGACGGUAUCUAACCAGAAAGCCACGGCUAACUACGUG
rnacentral:rRNA from 1 species